rnacentral:rRNA from 1 species
UACGUAGGGUGCGAGCGUUAAUCGGAAUUACUGGGCGUAAAGCGUGCGCAGGCGGCGCCGCAAGUCAGGCGUGAAAUCCCCGAGCUUAACUUGGGAAUGGCGCUUGAAACUACGGUGCUGGAGUGUGGCAGAGGGAGGUGGAAUUCCACGUGUAGCGGUGAAAUGCGUAGAGAUGUGGAGGAACACCGAUGGCGAAGGCAGCCUCCUGGGCCAACACUGACGCUCAUGCACGAAAGCGUGGGUAGCAAACAGG